rnacentral:misc_RNA from 1 species
AGUACGCGUGGCCUUAUUUAGUAGUUUCGAAGGCUGUUCUUGACUGUAAACGAUUUGUACGUUUUCGAGCAUUUCGCCAACUCGGUAAUUUUAAGAAGAGUGUCCAAGAAGUCAAGGCAUACCUGUGUUGUCUGUAUUUCAAAUUCAUUUGCGUUUUUUUGUUUAAACUUGACGAAACAUGUCCAGUGUGGUGCGUGGCCCAGCGGGAAACAACGAGUGCAGGAUAUACGUAGGUAAUUUGCCGCCAGAUAUUCGGGUCAAAGAUAUCGAGGAUAUAUUCUACAAAUAUGGCAACAUUCUGGAUAUUGACUUGAAAAACAGAAGAGGACCACCAUUUUCAUUUGUAGAAUUCGAAGAUAAAAGGGAUGCAGAGGAUGCAGUUCGAGGAAGAGAUGGUUAUGAUUAUGAUGGUUAUAGAUUACGUGUUGAAUUCCCACGUGGGGGAAGAGCCGGUGGUGGACCUCCCAGGGGAAUUGGAGGUGGUGGUGGCGGCGGUGGGGGUGGUGGUGGAGGGCUUGGUGGUGGUCCGGGGCGAGGACGUGGUGGACCUCCAGCAAGAAGAUCAGAAUAUAGAUGCCUGGUGUCAGGUUUGCCUCCAACAGGAAGUUGGCAGGAUUUGAAAGACCACAUGCGAGAGGCUGGAGACGUUUGUUUUGCUGAUGUCUACAGAGAUGGUACUGGAGUUGUGGAAUUUCUACGCUACGAGGACAUGAAAUAUGCGGCAAAACAUCUUGAUGACACAAAAUUCAGGUCACAUGAAGGAGAAACAUCAUACAUACGAGUAAAAGAAGAUUAUCCUUACAGUCCAAAGUCUCGUAGUCGUAGCAAAUCCCGCAGUCAUUCUCCUCCAAUGAGGAGGCGAUCAUCACCAAGAUAUUCUCCAAGGCGUUCAAGAUUUGGCUUCUGUGGAGCUACACAUAGCAAGGCAAUCACAGGCACAGGAGUAGGAAAACUAGGAACUGUGUCAGCGAAUUAAAAGAAUGUUCGCCGGGGGAAAAAGCCUGGGAUGUGAGAUGGUUUCAUAAGGAGCAUGUUUGGAUUCAGUUUGUAUUGAUGGUUGGAACCGUUAGGACAUCAUCCCCAAUAACAGGAGAGGAUGUCACAGAUGUUGGGACACUUUGUAGGAUCAAUCAUGGCCGGAGACAGGAACAGGAUCAGGAUAUCCCUUAGUAAUUUGGUAAAACGGUAAAAGACACACCGAAAAACAAAAAUUAAGCAGUUUCGCAGGAUUUCGGAAAGCAGCACAAAUUUAUGGCCCACAUGGCCAGGAAAAUAGGAGGGAAUUCGCUAUGGAUCAGGAGCGCCCUUGGAUCAGGAUUUCAGGAUGCAUCUCAGGGUAAAAUAUUAAUGUCGGCAAGUUGUUUUAAGCUAAAAAAAAAGCUUUACUCGACCAGCAGCAAUUGCAGUGUUCCAAUAUAUAUUGUUUUGGCUAAAUUCCUAAAUUUCCUUGUUAUAAUCCCAGAUUUGGAUUCAUUUCAUACAAGACAGUGAGUGCAAUCAUGUAUACUGUUGAUGUUGUGCUUCUAACCCAUUCAGCUUACAGGUAGUUGCAGUACAGAAGCCAUGAAAGGAGCAAUCUGAUUAAGAUCUUGUGUAGGUACAGGCCCAUGUCCACCAUCUGACAUUGCACAUUACCCAGUUCCUGCAAUUUACUAAGCUUGAUCACAAUAUUCAACUUACUUGAGACAGGUGCCAACAAUUAGUUGGGGAGGGGGGUGAACUGUUAAAGGACCUUCCAGCAUAGAUCCCUAGAAUUUGGUAGUGUUGGUCUACAAUUAGAAGCUGUACAAGACUGCAGCAUUCAGACCAUUCCCUGCCUGGAAUUUUAGGUUAUGAUCACUAGUUUCCAUUUCUUGUAUUGGACCUCUGUUCAGUUUUUUGCUGAACAAUAGUACUUACACAAGAUUUUAAUCCAGUUGUGGAAGGAGGCAGAAUUAAAUGUGAAGUUCUUCAAGGUUAAUAAAAAUUGUAGUUUGUAUA